rnacentral:ncRNA from 3 species
AACUUAUCAAGAAAGGUGGAGGGUUCUGGCCCCGUGAAACCUUGGCAACCGGAAGUUUCACGGUGCCAAAUCCAGCAGGUAACACUGACAGAUAAGGC